rnacentral:rRNA from 1 species
CUACGGGUUGCUGCAGUGGGGAAUAUUGCACAAUGGAGGAAACUCUGAUGCAGCGACGCCGCGUGAGUGAAGAAGUAUUUCGGUAUGUAAAGCUCUAUCAGCAGGGAAGACAGUGACGGUACCUGCAUAAGAAGCUCCGGCUAAAUACGUGCCAGCAGCCGCGGUAAUACGUAUGGAGCAAGCGUUAUCCGGAUUUACUGGGUGUAAAGGGAGUGUAGGUGGAUGCACAAGUCAGAAGUGAAAGCCCGGGGCUCAACCCCGGGACUGCUUUUGAAACUGUGUGGCUGGAGUGCAGGAGAGGUAAGUGGAAUUCCUAGUGUAGCGGUGAAAUGCGUAGAUAUUAGGGGGAACACCAGUGGCGAAGGCGGCUUACUGGACUGUAACUGACACUGAGGCUCGAAAGCGUGGGGAGCAAACAGGAUUAGAUACCCCCGUAGUC